CCAUGAGAUGAAGACAAGUCUUUUUGAUCAGUAAUGGGGUAUUCAAAAAGGCAAGAACCUUGUUCUUCUCUUUGGCUGACUUCUUCCUGAUGAGUUGCUUUCCAGUGAGAGAAGAAAGGGCUCAUGAUGAAUGAAAGCAGACAGACUCUGCUAUGAAGGUCACUGCAGCACAUGCAUCAACAUUGGCUACAGAAAGUUGAACAAAGAGAAAUUCUGCUAAACAGCAAUAACAAUAAUAACUUGAUGUGAACCUUCAAACCAGGCCAACAUAUUCCUUGGUACUUGGUGACUUCAGUGUGUUGAGUCCAGCACCUUCCACGAUGUGGGCACACCAUACUGGGUGAUCCUGUGCCAGUGUCUCCCAUGUCAUGUAAUCAAUUCCAAAGUUCUUCAGAGAGACCUUGAAAGUGUCCCUGUAUUGC